ensembl:lncRNA
CAGUGAGAGAGAGAGAGUGAGAGAGAGAGAGUGAGAGAGAGAGAGAGAGAGAGAGAGAGAGAGAGAGAGAGAGAGAGAGAGAGAGAGAGAGAGAGAGAGAGAACAGCAGUCACUGUGUAAUGCACUAGUAAGACUGAGAAGACAGAGAGGAAGAGGAAUAAAAAUGAAAAUGCGUUACUACUGAACGCGGCAGAGCAGAAGACCUAAGAACCAUUCUGGACACACACUUGGACACAGAACACGGCGAGCUUUACAGAAACCUUCUCUACAGGAAGAUAACAGAUGACAGCUGGGGUUCGGUGAGAUCUGAUUGGCUACCUGUUCCUCUGCCAGCUGCAGUAAAAAAAAAAAAAAAAAAAACACCCAAAAGCACAAGAGCUGCGUUAUCCAUGACUUCUUAAAGCAGCAGCGGCAGAUCUGCAGUCAUCUUCCUGCUCUGGUGGCUUUCUGGUUUGUCUCAAAGAUGCCUGCUGCGUGCUUACCUUGGGAAAGUCAUAAAAGAGAUUCUUUUGAGUCAGGAAUAAUGGCAUGUUUUAGGUAGAAGGAAACAGAGAUAGCAGCAGACACACAGACAGAGAGUUGAAGAAGUGAGUAAAAUUUUCCGACUGCUGUUCAUGUUCAUGUAGGUCAGGAUUGUUUCAGCUACUAAUUGGCCAAUCGUGUAUCAUACAGGGUCAGGUGUCCCGGCCUGGCCUCCGCUUUACUGCUGCAUGCCCAAUAAGUCUCUCUAGAGCAUGCAUUCAGACGUAGUUUUUGCCAAGAGGGUGUGUGUGGGAGCGAGAGAAACGGAGAGGUCUGUGUUUUGCAAUGAUGUAAUCAGAGUCCAUGCCAGUGAGAACUCGAGUCAUUGAGCUUUACACGAUACUCAGCCGAGCUCAACCGACAACCAAGUGACAUGCCAAUCCUUCGUCAUUUAUUUACCUGUGGCUUUUUGUAGCCUGCUUCAUCGCAGACACCUGAUUCCUCUUCUCCCUCUACUUCUUCUAGAGCUCUGGCUGAGUUUAGCUGACCUCUCUCCCUCUCUCUCUCUUACAUUCUCCCACUCAUCGUCUAACUUUAAUCAAGUAAAUGGAU